rnacentral:rRNA from 1 species
GACGAACGCUGGCGGCGUGCUUAACACAUGCAAGUCGAACGGAAAGGCCCUGCUUGCAGGGUACUCGAGUGGCGAACGGGAGAGUAACACGUGGGUGAUCUGCCCUGCACUUCGGGAUAAGCCUGGGAAACUGGGUCUAAUACCGGAUAGGAGCCAUUUUUAGUGUGAUGGUUGGAAAGUUUUUUCGGUGUAGGAUGAGCUCGCGGCCUAUCAGCUUGUUGGUGGGGUAAUGGCCUACCAAGGCGGCGACGGGUAGCCGGCCUGAGAGGGUGGACGGCCACAUUGGGACUGAGAUACGGCCCAGACUCCUACGGGCGGCAGCAGUGGCGAAUCUUGCACAAUGGGCGCGAGCCUGAUGCAGCGACGCCGCGUGGGGGAUGACGGCCUUCGGGUUGUAAACUCCUUUCGCUAGGGACGAAGCUUUUUGUGACGGUACCUAGAUAAGAAGCACCGGCUAACUACGUG